AGCGAACGUUAGCGGCGGGCUUAACACAUGCAAGUCGAGCGAGAAAGGGGCUUCGGCCCUGAGUACAGCGGCGGACGGGUGAAUAACACGUAGGUAACCUUCCUUCCAGCGGGGGACAACGGUCCGAAAGGACCGCUAAUACCGCAUACGUUCCCUGGGACCCUGGUCCCGGGGAGGAAAGCUCCGCAAGGGGCACUGGAUGAGGGGCCUGCGUAGCAUCAGCUAGUUGGUGGGGUAGUGGCCUACCAAGGCUAAGACGCUUAGCUGGUCUGAGAGGAUGAUCAGCCACACUGGGACUGAGACACGGCCCAGACUCCUACGGGAGGCAGCAGUGGGGAAUAUUGGACAAUGGGCGCAAGCCUGAUCCAGCCACGCCGCGUGAGUGAUGAAGGCC
rnacentral:rRNA from 1 species